AGUGAAUCGCAAAAUUGAACAUUAGAGCGUUAACUUUACUAUCCCAUCUGUUAUCAUAUUUAGCGCGCUUCAGUCAUAUUCAUUACAAAUAAUAGUGUCGUAUUUGAGUCGGGUUUUAACAAUUUAUCGAAAAGAAAGAUACAAUAACUUUUUUUCGCUUACGCUUCUGAUAAAUGCAUAAUUAUAUAGCGUUAUUAAUUUGGCAAAUCUUAAUUGUUUACAAUCUUUUACUAAACAAAAUAAAGUCAAAGUUUUAUUAAAAAGAUUACUCAUUAGUAUUCCGCGCCAUUUAUCAUACACAGAUAUUUGUUUUUCUUAUUAAAUAUUAUUUAAAUUAAUUAUUAUUACUUUCUUUUAGAACAACUGUCUUUUUUUAUUGCUACAACGUAACUAAUAAACUACGAUUUUGUGCAACUGUAAACAUAUACGUGUACAUAAAUGAGCAAAAUAAUAUAAAUUGUAGUCUGUUGUUCUCAUAAGAUCCUUUAUUCAACACAAACCGGUUAAGAAAAAAUUAGAUAAUCAAAUACACAAUGUACAAUUCUUAUUAUAUGACUAAUAAUAAAAUUUUUGAAUAAUAAUCAUUAAUAUAUAUAUAUAUAUAUAUAAUAUAAAAUUGUGAUCAUCGCAAUUGCGAUAAUCAUAAUUCUAGUAUAACAUGUUUACAUAAAAAAUAAAAAAAUAUUAAGAAAUAAGAAUUCAGACUUAAUUCUAUCUAUUUGCAAUCAAUGUACGGACUUGUAGCUCAGAAAUUUUUUACACGGAGAAAAAAGUAAUUGAUUCAACAAAAUGUGUAGUUGCGGGCUGCCAAUUAUAGAUAUGCUUAAUACAAUAAUAAUAUAUGGUAUUGCAAUCUCAACAUAUUGUACUCUUGCAUUAACAGCAAAUAUUAUUGCAUCGAGUAUAUCUGUAAUUGAUAAUCCGCAACUAUACAUAUAUCUUAUUGAAUCAAUUACUUUUUUUCUGUGUAUAAUUAUGACAUGAUAACAUCUGUUUACGUACUUGCAUUAAACUUUAAUUUUAGCUAUACGAUUAACUUCGAAAACGAGAAUUGCGGAAAAUCCUAAUGCUAAUGUUGCUAUUGCUAUAUAUCUUUUUCAUCGAGGUGGAAAAACAUGCAGUUUAUUUCUGAUUGACAUGACCUUGGUCCAUAAAUUUGUAUUAACUAAGUAUUAAUGUUUUAAACAAGUAGCAUUUUAACUUUUUUAUUUAUAAUUCUUAACUUCAAGAUCAAACAAAAAUGUUAAAUUCUUGGGAUUUUAUAUUUAUUUCAUCUUUAUUAUAUCCUAAUAGAGCAUAUAUGUGUGUAAAAAAUGUUGCUUUAAAGAUGAUUAAUAAUCUUGAGAAUAAUAAUGUUAAACAUACAGAGAUUUUAUUGCUUCAACUAAAAAUCAUAGUUGAUAGGAUGAAAAAUUACAUUAUGUAAACGAUUGAAUAAAACCAGUAUGGAGGUGAAAUCAGUUAUAUAUCUUUAAAAGAUUGAAAGGGAUUAAAGUCUCUUCUUGUCGCUGUGUCACCCAACAUAUUUUUUAUUUUUCAGACAAAAUCGUUGCAGAACGAAGUCAUUCUUGUAUCGGUAGUUGACAAUAACAUAUUACGUUAGACAUUUGCUUACACGGUAUGAAGAAAAAUCAAAUUAAUUUUGUGAUUUCGAAGUGUCAGUAGUUUAACGAUGUAUCUAUCAAGCAAGAUAUUUUGUUGUUUUAUGCUUCUAUUUGUUGUUUUGUCUGAGUCUCAAGGAAAUUCUAUAAAAAGUGAUAAGCAGAAGAAGAAUUCGAUGGUGCAAGUUAAUCUUCUUGAAAGCUCUAUGAAAUAUUCAAAUGACAUAAUCGAGUCAACACAAUGCAAUUUACGUUUAAAUUCUUUCAAGAUGUCGAAAUGCAAUAUAAACUCGAUGUUAAUUCUACAAAAAGCAAUAGAAAGAAUGAUAAUAAUUCGAAACAAUACGCAUCUCGCGAAUAUAUCACGACGGAUUGCAAAAGAAAUAAGCAGAUAGAAUUUGAUGCAAAUUCUACAGAGAUCAACGAUGCAAUGUUACAAGAAAUUGAAUAUUUUUUCAAGACCAAAAACGAGAGUAAUUCCACAUCGCACGAAGACGGAAAUUUCCAUACAAACAAUAAUAUUAAAGUCAUCUUUGUUCCAAAUGAAGAGUGUGACAAUGUGUCUUGCAUUCAGUUCUGCUGUCCUUUUACUGAUAAACUUACGAUGGAGGGCAAUUGCGUUGAAAAAGGAAACGGUAGUUUCUUUUUUCCACCUUUGAUCGCAUACGCAAAGGCUUCUGAGCAUGUAAUAUUUAACGUGACUUUCCACGAUCCAUGUGUUUUAAAAGGAUUUCAACACAGUCUACUUGAUCUUCAAAUAUAUAACUUUUAUGAGAAUGGCACCAUAGGAGAUCCAAAUACUAACAAAUUAAUUUCAUCGACAGAUUACUGCUUUGCAAUUUUGAAUCAAAGCAAUUAUGAUGUGAUUAUCUGCAAUGAGACUAAAAAAAAUAUAAAAAAUGAAAAGACUAAGUUUCGUUUAUAUCUAUAUGGCACGUGUGUGCUAGUGUCUUUGCCCUUCCUGUUAUUGACGUUUGUAAUAUAUUCAAUAUUGCCAGAGUUCCAAAAUAUCCAUGGUUAUAUAUUACGUGCACUUGUUGCCUCAUUAUUUAUUUUGAAUGCGAUGUAUAUCUUAAUAGCUACCUGUAAAAUUAGACAAAUUAAUCAACAAGUUUUUAUAUUAAUGGAUGACACAGUAUGUAUUUCAUUAGUCUAUAUUUGGAAUUUUUUUUUCUUGUCGACCUUUUUUUGGCUAAACGUAACAUGUUUCGACAUUUGGUACUCAUUCAGAGAACUUCGUUUACAUCGAACAAAUGUAAAGCAAGAGAAAAAAAAGUUUAUGAUAUAUUCGAUCUAUGCAUGGGGAAUGCCUUUGAUCUUUAACAUUAUCUUUUCUAUUUUGGAUUAUGUUAAAAUACCAAAUUGGCCGAAAAAAUGUCUGCAAAAGUUUACGUUUAGUAGUAUGUAACAUUGGAUUCUCUACUAAUGUUAAUUAAUUUUAACGGAAUGUUUAACUGAAAGAACAUCGAGGAAUAAGAUUAUUUUUUCUUGUACCUGUGGGUGUUACCCUUAUCAGUAACGUUUGUUUCUUUAUUGCUACAACAGUUAUAAUUAUGUAUCAGAAUAAACGUACAGCUAAGGAACUAAAAGAAUUAGAGAGUAAACACCAUAAAAAAAAUAAGCAGAGGUUGAAUACGUACCUGAAGUUAUUCAUAGUGAUGGGAGUAGGCUGGAUUUGGGAAGCAACAACGUGGGUGUUCAUCGAAGGCGAUUCCUUGACGUUGGAAAUCGUUGAUUAUUUUUUGACUAUAAUGAAUGAUUCGCAAGGCCUUAUCAUUUUUAUCUUAUUUGUGUGUACAAAAAAAAUAAAGGAAUUAUUGCUAAAACGAUUUGACGGACUAAAUUGUGGCCUAUUUAGUAAAAUUUGAACGUACAACGAGAGCACAGUGUCGAAUACCACUAUCAACGUCAGAAACUGUAGUUAUACAAGAAGUUGUUUCAGUAAACUCGCAGAUCCGAAUUAAUUCUACUCAUAGCAUUGAAAUGUAAAGGAGAAUAAAUUUUAUUACAGAGUUAGCAACUAAUCAGCCAAAGAUUGAUCUUGCAUUAUUAUUAAUGUAUAUUAUUGUUCUUUUUGAAACAACAAUAUGAUACAUGUGUUUUAGUAAACUGUUUAUUUAAAUUUAUACAAUAUCGUAAUCUGUUAUUAUUAUAUUAAAUAUAUGUAAACAAAUUGCUAUUUUAUAUAUAAUAAUAUUUACAAUCUUAGACGGCUUUUUGUCAUUUAUAUAAAUUCCUAUAAUACUAUCUUACCGCAAUACAUUUUACAGUUACGUCAGUACAAUUAUGCUAUAAAAUUAUCAAGUGCAUAACAUUCUUUAUUUUUAAUUUUAUAGAUACUCUAACAAUUUGAUGAAAGUCAUUAUACUUAAUAAUAUUGCUAUUCUAAUAUUAUUAAAGUAUUUUAAAAACAUCAUGAGUACAAAAUAAUUAGAAAAAUCGAAUUAUGUAUAAAUAAAGGAACUAUAUGGUCCCCUUAUAAAAUUUAAAAAAGAAUAGAUAAAAUAUACAUAAACAUAUAUUGUCUAAGGUGUUCAAAGCUUCAAAGUAUGAUUUUUAAAAGAUUGCCGGUUUUUUUUUAAUCACAUAUGUAUGCGUAAAUUCCCAGCAUGAUAAAUUGCUUUUUUUAAAUGUCGUUAAUAGCUUGUCUCAGUCAGUAGUCCUGUUUUGUCGUUUGCCGUAGUAUAAUUGCUAUUGUUAGGCAAAAAGUGAAUAGUGAAAUUGAACAUUAGAGUGUUAACUUUAUUAUCCUAUCUAUCAUUAUAUUUAGCUUUAGUCAUAAUCAUUAUACAAAAAAGAAUGUUGUAUUUUAGUUAAAUUAUAACAAUUUAUCGGAAAAAAAUGUACGAUAAACCUUUUCUCACUUACGCUUUUGAUAAAUAUAUAAUUAUAUAGCAUUAUUAA
rnacentral:misc_RNA from 1 species